GAAACACGGACCAAGGAGUCUAGCAUGUGCGCGAGUCAUUGAGAAUUUUAAACUUAAAGGCGAAAUGAAAGUGAAGGUUCGUCUAGCACGGACCGAGGGAAGAUGGGUGGUUCAUAGCGACCGCCUCGCAUUCCCGGGGCGUCUCGUUCUCAUCGCGAGAAGAGGCGCACCAAGAGCGUACACGCUGGGACCCGAAAGAUGGUGAACUAUGCCUGGUCAGGACGAAGUCAGGGGAAACCCUGAUGGAGGUCCGUAGCGAUUCUGACGUGCAAAUCGAUCGUCGGAACUGGGUAUAGGGGCGAAAGACUAAUCGAACCAUCUAGUAGCUGGUUCCCUCCGAAGUUUCCCUCAGGAUAGCUGGCGCUCGUUGCGUACGAGUCUCAUCCGGUAAAGCGAAUGAUUAGAGGCAUUGGGGUCGAAACGGCCUCAACCUAUUCUCAAACUUUAAAUGGGUGAGAUCUCCGGCUUGCUCGAACUGUUGAAGCCGCGAGAGACGGAUCAGAGUGCCAAGUGGGCCAUUUUUGGUAAGCAGAACUGGCGCUGUGGGAUGAACCAAACGCAGAGUUAAAGCGCCAAAAUCGACGCUUAUGGGAUACCAUGAAAGGCGUUGGUAACUUAAGACAGCAGGACGGUGGCCAUGGAAGUCGGAAUCCG
rnacentral:rRNA from 1 species